rnacentral:lncRNA from 1 species
CAGCUGCCAUGUCAUGAAGAGAGGCCCACUGGUGAAGAACUGAGCCUCCAGCCAAGAGCCAUGUGAGGGCGCCAUCUUCGAACUGGAUCUUCCAGCCCCAGCCAACCUCUCGGCCACAAAUUCAUGAGACAGCCUGAACGAGAACCACCUAGGCAAGCUGCUCCCGAAGUCCUGACCCAUGGAAACUGCCAUGACACACAGACCAUAAGGUGACUCCAUCCAACUCAUGGCUGGGGGAAGCAAGCACUGCUAGCAAAGGCCACUGCUGCCCCAGAUCUGGAAGACGGAAGUCCAAGAUCAAGGUGCGGGGGUAUGGUCUCUCUCAUAGGGUUGUUGGGGAAAGCACGUGGAGAAACAGCAGCCCCACGACACACAGCUGAAUGAACACAGCAAAUUCCGGGACGGUAUCGGUGGGCCCCAGCUCUCCUGAAUCAGAAUGCCUGUGCCUUCCCGUUGAAUGGAUCUGGAGAGCGAUCCAGGCACGGAAUUUAAAAACAAAUUCACUAAAAACAAAGAACGCAAACAAAGAUUUCUCUCACAAGCAGCCCAGAGCUGAGAAGCACUGAUGAUAAUAAAGGC